rnacentral:tRNA from 1 species
CUCAACUUGACAGAUAAUUGUAAAAGACUUAGAAUCUUUCCACCCUAUU